rnacentral:lncRNA from 1 species
CAAAUUGAGGCAAAACAAAAAAAAGAGAAAAAAUAACACACAAGAGGUUUGAGGUCAUCCCCACCUAAUAAAGGAAAAAUAAAAGUGAAAAUAAAGUGCUAUUUGUGCUUCCUCGAGUUACUUCGUCUUUGGCCUUCCUUUAGAUUCACUUUGGGGCAUACCCCUGAAAUAAAAUACAUACAAAUCCUUCGGGGCAUUCCCUGGAUAAAUUUAACUAAAGGGGGCGACCUCUCGCCUCGAAACCAAAAGCAAAUGAAAAAUUCUAAGAUUGCCUACCCAAGUGUGGUCGGCCAUAGCAUGCUACUAGAGGUUAGAGCAAUAAAAUAAAACUAAACAACGUGUUAUUGUUCUAAUUUUUCUUUCAAGUUAUACGUCCAAC